rnacentral:tRNA from 1 species
AGAAACUUAGGUUAAUAUAAACCAGGGACCUUCAAAGCCCCAGAUAUGAGCCACACCACCCUCCCAGUUUCUG